CAGUCGCCGCGGGAAUACGAAGGGGGCUAGCGUUGUUCGGAUUUACUGGGCGUAAAGGGUGCGUAGGCGGACUGAUAAGUCAGGGGUGAAAUCCCAAGGCUCAACCUUGGAACUGCCUUUGAUACUGUUUGUCUUGAGUUCGAGAGAGGUAAGUGGAACUGCGAGUGUAGAGGUGAAAUUCGUAGAUAUUCGCAAGAACACCAGUGGCGAAGGCGGCUUACUGGCUCGAAACUGACGCUGAGGCGCGAAAGCGUGGGGAGCAAACAGGAUUAGAUACCCGGGUAGUCCCUGUCUCUUAUAA
rnacentral:rRNA from 1 species